GGGCCUGUAGCUCAGUUGGCAGAGCAUCGGACUUUUAAUCCGCGGGUCGAGGGUUCGAGCCCCUCCGGGCCCAC
rnacentral:tRNA from 1 species